rfam:Medicago truncatula strain A17 chromosome 3, whole genome shotgun sequence.
CCAUUUUGGUCUUUUCCGUUUGGUUUUGAUCCUUGGUGUUUUGUUUUAGUUUUUGUAAAAUUGAUUCAUAUUGGAUUUGGUCCUUAUAAUAUGUAGAAUAUUUGAUUUUAGUCCCUCAAAAUGAGGACUAAAGUGAAUAUUAUAGGGACCAAUUUCAAUAUGAAAUAAUUUUACAAUGAUUAAAACAAAAUAUCAAGGACCAAAACUAAAUAUUUUAUAUUUGCAUGGA